AUGUUUAACCUAAAGCCCGGAACAAUGUUCCGUGAGAAGGUGUUCAUUGGGAAAGGUAAGCCUUUCAUCACGCUAAAGUCCGAUCCCUCCAACCCUGCUGUUAUCGUCUGGAAUGAUACUGCCAUGACCAAGGGCAAGGAUGGCAAGGUCCUCACCUCCCGUGGUAGUAGCACUGUCACCAUAGAGUCUGACUAUUUCAUUGCCUAUGGUAUUAUCAUCAAGAAUGAUGCACUUCCUGCCAAGGCGGGCGACAAACAAGUGCAAGCCACUGCAUUGCAUGUGACGGGCACAAAGGCAAUUUUCUAUAACUGCACGAUCGAGGGCGGCCAGGGAGCCUUGUAUGACCAUCAGGGGCUUCACUACUUCAAGGCCUCUACAAUCAAGGGAAGUGUCGACUUCAUCUUUGGGUCCACACGAUCUUUGUAUGAGGACUGUAGUAUCAUCUCUACUAACAAGGAUAUCACCAACAUGAAAGUGGCACAAGAGGGGUGGGCUAGCGAGAGCCGUAUCAACAGUGAGAGUGGUUUCUCCUUCAAGAAUUGUACCAUUAAGGGUGAGGGGAAACCAUUAUUCUUAGGAAGGGCAUCAGGGAACUUCUCGCAGGUUGUGUACUCCACCGAGAUGGACAGCGAAAUUGUUCCCAUCAUAUGGGAAAAGGGGAAUAUGACAAUUCCUAAGAGUGGGAUCUACUAUGGUGAGUUCAAAUGCUAUGGGCCUGGGUUAGAUGCAUCGAAGAAGGCUGGAUGGGCCCUAUCCCUAACUGAGGCUCAGGCCAAGCCCUUUACCUGCAAAAGCUUCAUCUCAGGUGGCUCAUGGAUUACUCCCCUUCCCCCGGCUGAUCCAUAG
rnacentral:rRNA from 1 species